rnacentral:rRNA from 1 species
GUAUUAGGCAAAUCCGGUACUCAUUAAGGCUGAGCUGUGAUGGGGAGAAGACAUUGUGUCUUCGAGUCGUUGAUUUCACACUGCCGAGAAAAGCCUCUAGAUAGAAAAUAGGUGCCCGUACCGCAAACCGACACAGGUAGUCAAGAUGAGAAUUCUAAGGUGAGCGAGCGAACUCUCGUUAAGGAACUCGGCAAAAUGACCCCGUAACUUCGGGAGAAGGGGUGCUCUUUAGGGUUAACGCCCAGAAGAGCCGCAGUGAAUAGGCCCAAGCGACUGUUUAUCAAAAACACAGGUCUCUGCUAAACCGUAAGGUGAUGUAUAGGGGCUGACGCCUGCCCGGUGCUGGAAGGUUAAGAGGAGUGGUUAGCUUCUGCGAAGCUACGAAUCGAAGCCCCAGUAAACGGCGGCCGUAACUAUAACGGUCCUAAGGUAGCGAAAUUCCUUGUCGGGUAAGUUCCGACCCGCACGAAAGGCGUAACGAUUUGGGCACUGUCUCAACGAGAGACUCGGUGAAAUCAUAGUACCUGUGAAGAUGCAGGUUACCCGCGACAGGACGGAAAGACCCCGUGGAGCUUUACUGUAGCCUGAUAUUGAAAUUCGGCACAGCUUGUACAGGAUAGGUAGGAGCCUUUGAAACGUGAGCGCUAGCUUACGUGGAGGCGCUGGUGGGAUACUACCCUAGCUGUGUUGGCUUUCUAACCCGCACCACUUAUCGUGGUGGGAGACAGUGUCAGGCGGGCAGUUUGACUGGGGCGGUCGCCUCCUAAAAGGUAACGGAGGCGCUCAAAGGUUCCCUCAGAAUGGUUGGAAAUCAUUCAUAGAGUGUAAAGGCAUAAGGGAGCUUGACUGCGAGACCUACAAGUCGAGCAGGGUCGAAAGACGGACUUAGUGAUCCGGUGGUUCCGCAUGGAAGGGCCAUCGCUCAACGGAUAAAAGCUACCCCGGGGAUAACAGGCUUAUCUCCCCCAAGAGUUCACAUCGACGGGGAGGUUUGGCACCUCGAUGUCGGCUCAUCGCAUCCUGGGGCUGUAGUCGGUCCCAAGGGUUGGGCUGUUCGCCCAUUAAAGCGGUACGCGAGCUGGGUUCAGAACGUCGUGAGACAGUUCGGUCCCUAUCCGUCGUGGGCGUAGGAAAUUUGAGAGGAGCUGUCCUUAGUACGAGAGGACCGGGAUGGACAUACCUCUGGUGUACCAGUUGUCGUGCCAACGGCAUAGCUGGGUAGCUAUGUGUGGACGGGAUAAGUGCUGAAAGCAUCUAAGCAUGAAGCCCCCCUCAAGAUGAGAUUUCCCAACUUCGGUUAUAAGAUCCCUCAAAGAUGAUGAGGUUAAUAGGUUCGAGGUGGAAGCAUGGUGACAUGUGGAGCUGACGAAUACUAA